rnacentral:rRNA from 1 species
UUGUUGCAGUUAAAAAGCUCGUAGUUGAACUUUAGGCAAGGUGGCCUGGUCUCCCAAUGGGUGUACUGGGCUCGCCGCGCCUCACCUUCGGGGAACUAGUCGUGCUUCGGUGCGCUAGGGAACCGAGCCUUACUUUGAAGAAAUUAGAGUGUUUAAAGCAGGCUUACGCUUGAAUACAUCAGCAUGGAAUAACAUGAUAGGACUUUGGUUCUAUUUUGUUGGUUUGAGGACCAAAGUAAUGAUUAAUAGGGCCAGUCGGGGGCAUUAGUAUUCUAUAGUCAGAGGUGAAAUUCUUGGAUUUAUAGAAGACUAACUAAUGCGAAAGCAUUUGCCAAGGAUGUUUUCAUUAAUCAAGAACGAAAGUUAGGGGAUCGAAGACGAUUAGAUACCGUCGUAGUCUUAACCAUAAACUAUGCCGACUAGGGAUCGGUGGAUGUCGCUUUUGACUCCAUCGGCACCUUACGAGAAAUCAAAGUUUUUGGGUUCUGGGGGGAGUAUGGUCGCAAGGCUGAAACUUAAAGGAAUUGACGGAAGGGCACCACCAGGAGUGGAGCCUGCGGCUUAAUUUGACUCAACACGGGAAAACUCACCAGGUCCGGACACGGGAAGGAUUGACAGACUGAUAGCUCUUU